GUUUUUCGUGCCGCUCACCACGAAAUGUUUUUCGCUGUGGUAAUCACAUCUGAAAGUGGUUUAUACCGGCGGAUUCAUGACGAUCUAAGCUGUCCAUCGGCGUAUACUGCUUGUGUGAUCGCGUUUGCGGCCGCCGGCCGCCGGACAUUCUUGAAAUUCCUAUGCAAAUUGGUAAGUGUACCACCGGCUUAUGGUUAGGUUAUGGUUAGGUUAUGGUUAGGGUUAUGUUUAGGAACGAUGUCAUGCAAAAUAUAGCGUUGGAUUCGCCACGGUUUUACAUUAAAAAUAUAAUAUACACAUUCUUUUGAAAUACGUUCUGAGUGGCACGAAAAGUCCGCCGUUUAAAAUACAUUGGUGCGCAUUUCGUGGUGAGCGCCACGAAAAACAUGACGAAAUCGUGUUGGUGCGCACGAAACCGAAACUAAAACUUACGUGACAGUUUCACGAAUCCCCGUGAGAUCGGGCUGGACAGAAAUAAAUGGUUAGCCAGCAGGAGCAGUCCCUGCCAGCCCUCAUUUCCUUGUUUUAUGAGGAACAAGGGUCAUUUGCUGUGCUGGCUGCGUGACGGUGACAGCUGAGUGAAAGCCGACCUCUGAGCAGGUGGAAGCACAGUUUGAAGAACUUGAACAGAGGUUCUCUUUACUGCUGUGGAUAGGAGAAGGAAAAUAUUUCAUCGUAAAGUAAGCCAACUCUGAGAUAUCAGACAGAAAUAAAUGGUUGGCUGAUUUAGGGUUAGGGUUACCCUAACCCUGGUAUUUGUCUCUUCUAAGUGCAGGAUGAAGGGAGGGCUAACUCUCCUGCUGCUGUGGCUGACUGCAGUGCUGGUGAUGACUAUACUGGGAAAUACUGCAGAGGCCAGGGAGCAUGAACUCCUGGUGAGAAACUUCACCAACCACUUUCUAAAAGUCAUCCCUUCCAAUGACAACAACAGCUCCAGUGUUAUUAAACUGGUGAUGGAGGGGACCCUGAUUUCUCUGAAUGAGACA